rnacentral:rRNA from 1 species
UGAUGCAACGCGAAGAACCUUACCUACUCUUGACAUCCAGAGAACUUAGCAGAGAUGCUUUGGUGCCUUCGGGAACUCUGAGACAGGUGCUGCAUGGCUGUCGUCAGCUCGUGUUGUGAAAUGUUGGGUUAAGUCCCGCAACGAGCGCAACCCUUAUCCUUUGUUGCCAGCGAUUCGGUCGGGAACUCAAAGGAGACUGCCGGUGAUAAACCGGAGGAAGGUGGGGAUGACGUCAAGUCAUCAUGGCCCUUACGAGUAGGGCUACACACGUGCUACAAUGGCGUAUACAAAGAGAAGCGACCUCGCGAGAGCAAGCGGAACUCAUAAAGUACGUCGUAGUCCGGAUUGGAGUCUGCAACUCGACUCCAUGAAGUCGGAAUCGCUAGUAAUCGUAGAUCAGAAUGCUACGGUGAAUACGUUCCCGGGCCUUGUACACACCGCCCGUCACACCAUGGGAGUGGGUUGCAAAAGAAGUAGGUAGCUUAACCUUCGGGAGGGCGCUUACCACUUUGUGAUUCAUGACUGGGGUG